AUGGCAAGUCACUCUAGUCUCUUUGUCAAGAAAACGCCAUGGGCAAGAACAUGACGUCAUAAAGAGUCAGUCAUGACUGAACAACUGAACAACAAUAACAAGAGUUUAAUGAGUAGGGAGUACUCAGUAGGAGACACAGACCUGCAGUAGGAAUAUGUUUCGCAGCUGAGUGAAGGAUGGACUGAAAUGAGGACAAAUGUGGCAAGAAGAUCAACCAGCAGGUUUUUGCACUUGUGCAGGAAUGAGGUGAUUGUGGCAGUGUCAAAGGAGAGAAAGAGGAACUGAUAUUUCUAAAAGUGAGGCACAGUAGGAAAAAAAAAAAGGUUCCAAGAGGCAAGAUCUACAGAUAACACAGAAAGUGUUUAGAAGAAGGAACCCAAAAUUGACAACUUAGGAAUGGAGACUAAAGAAGGACUAAGGUCUGUCUCAUCUGGCCAAGUCAACAUGUCAUCAGUGCAAUGGUGGACACCAAUACCCUCAGGAGAAGACUGUUUCAGAUCUCUGCCUACUGGAAAGUGGUAAUAUAAAGGACAGUUUAGGUAGUUAUGAGGAAGGAUGGUGAAGGCAUAUUGGACUCUUUCCCAGGUGAAAACCAACUGUUUCUGACUAGUCUUAGCCACAGCAAUACUGAAAAAAAAAAAGGGUUGGGAAGGUUGAUAACAUUCUACCACUCAUCCUGGACCUAAGCUACUUGAUGCAAUACAUUGAUGUGGUCUGGAACAGCUGUAGUAAUGGGAAUGACAACUUGUUUAGCUGUUGUCUACUGUAAGUCACCAGGUGCCAUCUGCCUUCCUCAUCAGCCCUAAAGGGACUUUAGUAAAGCAAAAUAAUCUACCUGAUCUCCACCAUUAGAAAGGAAAUCUCUUUGACCUGACCCCAAUACCACCUGAUAGCAUUUCGUGCUAAUGAUGGAAUGGUUUGAGCAACUGCAAGGGUUUCAGUUUUGCACUACCCACAAUAACCGAAAAGGCCAGUACAGGUUCCUUUUCCUUUGGUCAUUUUUCCAUCGUGUCCAACACUUUGUGACUCCAUUUGGAGUUUUCUUGGUAAAGAUACUGCCAUUUCCUUCUCC